rnacentral:rRNA from 1 species
CCUUCGGGAGGCAGCAGUGAGGAAUAUUGGUCAAUGGCCGGAAGGCUGAACCAGCCAAGCCGCGUGAAGGACGAAGGUGCCAAGCAUUGUAAACUUCUUUUGUCAAGGGACAAAAUCAGGCUCGAGAGCCUGACCGAGGGUACUUGAAGAAAAAGCAUCGGCUAACUACGUGCCAGCAGCCGCGGUAAUACGUAGGGGGCAAGCGUUAUCCGGAUUUACUGGGUGUAAAGGGAGCGUAGGCGGUUUAGCAAGUCAGAAGUGAAAGCCCGGGGCUCAACUCCGGGACUGCUUUUGAAACUGUUGAACUAGAUUGCAGGAGAGGUAAGUGGAAUUCCUAGUGUAGCGGUGAAAUGCGUAGAUAUUAGGAGGAACACCAGUGGCGAAGGCGGCUUACUGGACUGUAAAUGACGCUGAGGCUCGAAAGCGUGGGGAGCAAACAGGAUUAGAUACCCUUGUAGUC